rnacentral:tRNA from 1 species
GGCCCAGUAGCUCAAUGGACAGAGCAGUCCCCUUCUAAGGGAAAGGUUGGAGGUUCGACUCCCCCCUGGGUCA